rnacentral:rRNA from 1 species
AGCGAACGCUGGCGGCAGGCCUAACACAUGCAAGUCGAACGAACCUUUCGGGGUUAGUGGCGGACGGGUGAGUAACACGUGGGAACGUGCCCUUAGGUUCGGAAUAACUCAGGGAAACUUGUGCUAAUACCGAAUGUGCCCUUCGGGGGAAAGAUUUAUCGCCUUUAGAGCGGCCCGCGUCUGAUUAGCUAGUUGGUUGAGGUAAUGGCUCACCAAGGCGACGAUCAGUAGCUGGUCUGAGAGGAUGAUCAGCCACAUUGGGACUGAGACACGGCCCAAACUCCUACGGGAGGCAGCAGUGGGGAAUCUUGCGCAAUGGGCGAAAGCCUGACGCAGCCAUGCCGCGUGAAUGAUGAAGGUCUUAGGAUUGUAAAAUUCUUUCACCGGGGACGAUAAUGACGGUACCCGGAGAAGAAGCCCCGGCUAACUUCGUG